rnacentral:rRNA from 2 species
AAAAUUGAAAGUCGAGCGGACAGAUGGGAGCUUGCUCCCUGAUGUUAGCGGCGGACGGGUGAGUAACACGUGGGUAACCUGCCUGUAAGACUGGGAUAACUCCGGGAAACCGGGGCUAAUACCGGAUGCUUGUUUGAACCGCAUGGUUCAAACAUAAAAGGUGGCUUCGGCUACCACUUACAGAUGGACCCGCGGCGCAUUAGCUAGUUGGUGAGGUAAUGGCUCACCAAGGCAACGAUGCGUAGCCGACCUGAGAGGGUGAUCGGCCACACUGGGACUGAGACACGGCCCAGACUCCUACGGGAGGCAGCAGUAGGGAAUCUUCCGCAAUGGACGAAAGUCUGACGGAGCAACGCCGCGUGAGUGAUGAAGGUUUUCGGAUCGUAAAGCUCUGUUGUUAGGGAAGAACAAGUGCCGUUCAAAUAGGGCGGCACCUUGACGGUACCUAACCAGAAAGCCACGGCUAACUACGUGCCAGCAACCGCGGUAAUACGUAGGUGGCAAGCGUUGUCCGGAAUUAUUGGGCGUAAAGGGCUCGCAGGCGGUUUCUUAAGUCUGAUGUGAAAGCCCCCGGCUCAACCGGGGAGGGUCAUUGGAAACUGGGGAACUUGAGUGCAUAAGAGGAGAGUGGAAUUCCACGUGUAGCGGUGAAAUGCGUAGAGAUGUGGAGGAACACCAGUGGCGAAGGCGACUCUCUGGUCUGUAACUGACGCUGACGAGCGAAAGCGUGGGGAGCGAACAGGAUUAGAUACCCUGGUAGUCCACGCCGUAAACGAUGAGUGCUAUGUGUUAGGGGGUUUCCGCCCCUUAGUGCUGCAGCUAACG